rnacentral:rRNA from 1 species
AUGAUUGUUCACUUGUGGAAGGUGGAGAUGAGCCUCUUCGGCGUAGUUCUUCCUCUGCUCCUACUUGUUUGUAGUGCAGCACCAACGGUGCACGCUUCCAACAGCAAUAUGAACAUCCCAUCCGCUGCCACGCUCACCGGUUGCCAAAGAAGAUGCGGGAAUCUCACCUUCGACUAUCCCUUUGGCAUCGGCUCGGCCCGUUGCUUCCGGCAGCCCGACUUCAAGCUCAUCUGCAACAACGCCACGCAAACCCCAAGGCUCUUCCUCCAGGACGGCGCCACGGAGGUCAUUAACGACAUCGACAUUGAUUCUGAUUUCACAGAUUUAAGAGUCGCAUUUUCACGUUAUAUCGUCAUGAGCUCUGGCGUCAAUGUCUAUAACAUGACAUGGAAAGCUCCCGGGAGAUCUUUAUAUUUGUGGUUUGCCGAAUUAAACAUCACAGCCUGUGACCUGGAUGUAUUCCAGUUGCUCGAUGGAACUGACACAAAUGCCGCCCAAGACUCGGAUUCAAAUUCGAUGGUGCUGCUUUGUACAGUGACCUGCCCUAACAUGGAAAUAGCGGAGACCUCUGUUGCUAGGCAGGACUGCAAUGGUACCGGAUGUUGCUCCAGCUCGCACCUUAUUAUUCCUGCUCGCACCUUGCAGCUUCGGUUUGUCCGCCAUGGCGGGGCGGAGCUGGACCGUAACCGAAGCUCACUCUGGGACGGAAUCAAUAUAACUACUAAUUAUGCCAUUAUUACUUGGAGUAUCAUGGAUCAUGCAACAGGCGCCACCACCCUGGUUAACACGACCAACAACGCCUGUGUCAGCAAUCACAGCAAGCCGAUCCAAAAUACUUUUGCAUUUGGUCGCUGUUAUAAUUGCAUUUGCGAUAAUGGGUAUAAAGGCAAUCCCUACAUAAUCGAUGGAUGCUUGCGUGAUGGAGGGUAUAAUCCGGUCCAACGAAAGGCAAAGUGCUCUCGAUGGUGUGGAAACAUCAGUGUUCCAUUUCCAUUUGGCCUAGAAGAAGGCUGUUCUGCAAGGAAGCUAUUUCAGCUCAACUGUACCAACAUGUUGACGUCCAGCCUCCAACUAAACGAUCAUCAUCAUGUCAUGAACAUAAGUGUUGACGAUGGACUCGUGGACAUCGAAGACACGUCAAGUUACCAGCGUGAUAUGUCUGCGAUGCAUGUAUCCGAGGAACCUGAACUCUAUAUUGGUUUUGGGGAAUCGGCAUCUGUGCAAUGGGCCGUUGCUGGUCUGACAUGCCGAGAGGCAAAACAGAACACGUCUGGAUACGCAUGUGUCAGCAUCCAUAGCACUUGCUUAGCCGUCUACUCAAAGGAUGGUUACAUCGGUUAUCGGUGCAAAUGCAUGCCUGGCUUCAAUGGAAAUCCGUAUAUCCGAAAUGGCUGUGAAGAUAUUGACGAGUGCAAGAAACAAGACAUUUGCAAAGGAGUAUGCAAUAAUACUAUAGGAACAUACUAUUGUACCGAUUGUCCUGGGAAUACACAGUAUGAUACUACAACAGUGCAGUGCACCUUUACCAAGAAGCAAAAUCUUCUACUGGGUGUUGGCAUUGGGCUUAGCAGUGGCUUCGGUGUUCUACUUCUCAGCUCAAUUACUAUAGUUCUUGUUCGUAGAUGGAAAAGGGACAUCCAAAAGCAACUGCGAAGGAAUCAUUUUCGAAAGAACCAAGGCCUUCUGCUGGAACAACUAAUAUCAUCGGAUGAAAAUGCAAGUGACAAGACCAAGAUUUUCACUUUGGAAGAACUAGAGAAGGCAACAAAUAACUUUGAUGCUACACGUAUACUGGGUCGUGGAGGGCAUGGUAUGGUGUACAAAGGCAUCUUGUCCAACCAACAUGUGGUGGCGAUAAAAAGGUCUAAGAACAUCGAUGAAGGUGAGAUCAGUCAAUUUAUUAAUGAGGUAGCAAUUCUCUCACAAAUAAACCACCGAAAUAUAGUAAAACUUUUUGGAUGUUGUCUUGAAACUGAGGUCCCACUAUUAGUUUAUGACUUUGUUCCCAAUGGCUCGUUAUAUGAAAUUCUACAUUCCAAUUCAAGUAGUGGCUGUUUCUUGUUGUCAUGGGAGGACUGCCUAAGAAUUGCCACGGAAGCUGCAGCAGCUCUAUAUUAUCUCCACUCGGCAGCUUUGGUGUCAGUCUUUCACCGUGAUGUCAAAUCUUCUAAUAUACUACUAGAUGCAAACUACACUGCUAAAGUUUCAGAUUUCGGUGCUUCAAGAUUGGUUCCUAUUGAUCAAACCCAUGUUGUUACAAAUGUACAAGGUACAUUUGGGUACUUGGAUCCAGAAUAUUACCAUACUGGGCAACUAAACGAGAAGAGUGAUGUAUAUAGUUUUGGUGUGGUACUUGUGGAGCUAUUUCUGAGAAGGGAGCCUAUAUUUACAACUGAGUCAGGUUCAAAGGAAAAUUUGGCCAAUUACUUUCUUUCGGAGAUAAAAGUUAGGCCAAUCAAAGAGAUAGUGGCUGCUCAAAUUUGUGAGGAAGCGACCGAAGAAGAGAUUAAAAGUGUUGCCUCACUUACGGAGAUGUGCUUGAGGCUCCGAGGUGAAGAGAGACCUACCAUGAAAGAAGUCGAGAUGACUUUGCAGUUGUUGCGAACUAAAAGGUCAAACUCAUGCCAUGCAAGUCCAGAAAAUGAUGAAGAUAUGCAACCACUCCAACGUACAAGAGCUGAUGCUAGAUGCAAGUCGCAGGCCAUUAACUUGGGCAACGAUGCUUAUUCUGAGUCUCAAAACAACCAAAAAUGCAACAGCUACAAACUGGAGUUAGGGUCAAUUGGGUUACCACAGUAA